AUUUGAUUAGGAUUUAGGAUUUUGUUUGGAUUUGAUUAAGAUUUAAUUAUGAUAUAAUUAGGAUUUGAUUAAAAAUUGAUUAAGAUUUGUCUAGGAUUUUUCUAAGAUUUCAGCAAGAUUCAUUAAAAUUGAUUUAGAAUUUAAGAUUUUAUUAGGAUUUUAUUAAGAUUUAUUAAAGUUGAUCUAGGAUUUAGGAUUUAAUUAGGAUUUCAUUAGAAUUUGAUCUAGAAUUUGAUUAAAAUUUAAAAAGAUUUUAGUUAGGAUUAAAUUAGGAUUUAAUUAGGAUUUAAUUGUGAUAUCUAUUUUUAAUAUUUCUUUAG
rnacentral:lncRNA from 1 species